UAAAAAACCAAAUAACAGUAAGACAUUGUAGUAGAUUUAAAAACCAAUUUUGAUUAACCGAGGUUUUCUCCGCUUCUUUCAAGUUCCUUCAUGUUUAGCAUAGCAAAAGUAUUCCAGUGUUGAUAAGUCAUUGUCACAUUCCUGCAUUUGUGUAAUUUCUUGUAACGGUGUUCUUUGAAUCCUCAUUCUUUAGGAUGAUCUGUUUCAUAAUCAUACCUUCACUUAGAUAAAUGUCAAUAGUUUUUCUUGUAUUGCGCUCUUUUCAUAUGCUCCAACGAGCUACUGAUAGAAGUGUCUAAUGAAUUUCUCAUAUGGGAGAGUUGAUUUUUAAUUUAUCAAUUUCAACACUCAUAGAACUGAAGUCGAUGCAGCUGUUUUGUUGAAUUAAUCCUUCCAAAGGCAGUAGACAGUUUCUGAUUAUAUUUCUGGGUAACAGCAUGAGUAGAAAAUAUGAUUGAUUGAUUCAGUUUCUUUUUUACAGAGGUAGUAUAUCUCGUCCGACUGCAGUCCCCUAAUUAUAUGUCUAUUGAGUGUUGACAAUUUCCCUCACCUCAUCCGUCAAAGAUAAUUCCCAACCUUGGGUAAAUGAAGAGUUGAGAUAUUUUCACUUAAUCUUUUAUAAUCAUUUUCAAAUAUGUCGGAUCCAGAUUUGAAUUAUAUUUUUGUUUAUGAAACUCAAUAUAAAAUCCGAACCACACCCACUUGAAACCUUGAUUUUUUUAUUUAAAAAAAAACCUUUAUAAAUUACUCAUAUUAUUAAAAAUAAUAAUUUUAAUUUAUAAGAAUGAUUAUAUAUUCUGAAUUAUGUUGUUUUAUUUUAUUUGAACACUAUUAAAUAGAUUAAUGUUAUUUAUAUUUUCUAAAGAUUAAAAAAAUUAGGUAUUUUUAACGAAAAUUUAUAAAUUGUUUAAAUAAAAUGGUUAUUUGUGCAAAUUUUAUAAAAAAAUAUCUCACCCCGACGGGCCAAACCCGACCCAUGCUCAUUUCUAAAACUAGCUCUAUUUAAAUUUACAAUUAGUGAUUAUUAAAUAAAAAUUUAGAGUAAGUAAAUUCUGGAAUUAAUAUUAUUUAUUUGAUUAUUUGAUUAUUAUUAUAUAAAAUAGAAAUUAGAAAUACAAGAAAUGAUAUUUUAAUUUUUAAUAGAAGAGAAUAAAAUAAUCUAUUCUACGUGGAUCUGAUUCAAUCGGUUGAACCAGACGGAAUGAAGUAUCAUAUGGAACAGAUCAUACUUUACCGGCGAUGUAUUCCAUAAGAAAUGCUUCCUCACUUCCCUCACACCUCUUGCUAUUUCCAUGU
rnacentral:lncRNA from 1 species